UGGCUCAGGAUGAACGCUAGCUACAGGCUUAACACAUGCAAGUCGAGGGGCAUCAGGAAGAAAGCUUGCUUUCUUUGCUGGCGACCGGCGCACGGGUGAGUAACACGUAUCCAACCUGCCCUUUACUCGGGGAUAGCCUUUCGAAAGAAAGAUUAAUACCCGAUAGCAUAAUGAUUCCGCAUGGUUUCAUUAUUAAAGGAUUCCGGUAAAGGAUGGGGAUGCGUUCCAUUAGGUUGUUGGUGAGGUAACGGCCCACCAAGCCUUCGAUGGGUAGGGGUUCUGAGAGGAAGGUCCCCCACAUUGGAACUGAGACACGGUCCAAACUCCUACGGGAGGCAGCAGUGAGGAAUAUUGGUCAAUGGGCGCUAGCCUGAACCAGCCAAGUAGCGUGAAGGAUGAAGGCUCUAUGGGUCGUAAACUUCUUUUAUAUAAGAAUAAAGUGCAGUAUGUAUACUGUUUUGUAUGUAUUAUAUGAAUAAGGAUCGGCUAACUCCGUGCCAGCAGCCGCGGUAAUACGGAGGAUCCAAGCGUUAUCCGGAUUUAUUGGGUUUAAAGGGAGCGUAGGUGGACUGGUAAGUCAGUUGUGAAAGUUUGCGGCUCAACCGUAAAAUUGCAGUUGAUACUGUCAGUCUUGAGUACAGUAGAGGUGGGCGGAAUUCGUGGUGUAGCGGUGAAAUGCUUAGAUAUCACGAAGAACUCCGAUUGCGAAGGCAGCUCACUGGACUGCAACUGACACUGAUGCUCGAAAGUGUGGGUAUCAAACAGGAUUAGAUACCCUGGUAGUCCACACAGUAAACGAUGAAUACUCGCUGUUUGCGAUAUACAGUAAGCGGCCAAGCGAAAGCAUUAAGUAUUCCACCUGGGGAGUACGCCGGCAACGGUGAAACUCAAAGGAAUUGACGGGGGCCCGCACAAGCGGAGGAACAUGUGGUUUAAUUCGAUGAUACGCGAGGAACCUUACCCGGGCUUAAAUUGCAGUGGAAUGAUGUGGAAACAUGUCAGUGAGCAAUCACCGCUGUGAAGGUGCUGCAUGGUUGUCGUCAGCUCGUGCCGUGAGGUGUCGGCUUAAGUGCCAUAACGAGCGCAACCCUUAUCUUUAGUUACUAACAGGUUAUGCUGAGGACUCUAGAGAGACUGCCGUCGUAAGAUGUGAGGAAGGUGGGGAUGACGUCAAAUCAGCACGGCCCUUACGUCCGGGGCUACACACGUGUUACAAUGGGGGGUACAGAAGGCAGCUAGCGGGUGACCGUAUGCUAAUCCCAAAAUCCUCUCUCAGUUCGGAUCGAAGUCUGCAACCCGACUUCGUGAAGCUGGAUUCGCUAGUAAUCGCGCAUCAGCCACGGCGCGGUGAAUACGUUCCCGGGCCUUGUACACACCGCCCGUCAAGCCAUGGGAGCCGGGGGUACCUGAAGUACGUAACCGCAAGGAUCGUCCUAGGGUA
rnacentral:rRNA from 1 species